GAUUAUGGCUCAGAACGAACGCUGGCGGCGCGUUUAAGCAUGCAAGUCGAGCGGCAGGGGCCUUCGGGCCCCUAGAGCGGCGGACGGGUGAGUAACACGUGGACAAUCUGCCCCCCGGCCCGGGAUAGCCCAGGGAAACCUGGAUUAAUACCGGAUGAGACGGGACCCGCGAUGGCGGGACCCGGGAAAGGCGCUGCGGCGCCGCCGGGGGAUGAGUCUGCGUCCCAUUAGCUAGACGGCGGGGUAACGGCCCACCGUGGCGACGAUGGGUAGCCGGCCUGAGAGGGUGGACGGCCACAUUGGAACUGAGACACGGUCCAGACUCCUACGGGAGGCAGCAGCUAAGAAUCUUCCGCAAUGGGCGAAAGCCUGACGGAGCCGACGCCGCGUGAACGAAGAAGGCCGUGAGGUUGUAAAGUUCUUUUCGGGAGGGGAACAACCGUGGCAGGGAAUGGCCGCGGGAUGACGUGAAUCCCGGAAUAAGCCCCGGCUAACUACGUGCCAGCAGCGGC
rnacentral:rRNA from 1 species